CACUGAUUUUUUAUGCUUAAGUUUAUUUUAAAAGGUUUAACUUUAUUUAAUUGUAACUUGUAGUUGAUGGAAGUUCCAAUGUAAGGAAUGCACUUGAACAAUGGGCAUUGUGUUUGAAUUAGGCUAUGUAAGAAUGCCUCACCGCAAACCUACCAGUGUAAUGGAAUGUGAGUGCACGUAGCUCUCUGGUGUUCUUUUAUUUGUGUUAAGCCAGAUCUAUCCGAAUAUUUUCCUUUGUGUUAAUAGUAUAGUAUAUAAGGUUUAGAAUGCCAAAUCUCGGGAGAGUGCCACAUUGACACAGUGGGGAGUGGUGGUCUGCAAUCGUCACUGAAGUAACGGCGGAGACGACCGGACGCUGCUUUGAAGGAAGGCCAAGUUCUACCCCAAGCAAGCUACCUGAACAAGGCUACCGGAUCGUCAAACCACACCACCACACCCACUCGUAUCGUGUCAAUAAAAUAUCCGUAUUAAUUCCUCAAAUCGCCCAAAACCAGAGGCUUUUAAGUUCGGCACUCUCAAGCCUUCUGUAAGUAAAAGGAUUUAGUAAUUUUGCUUCAUUGCAUGGCUUUUGCAUGGCAUGCCUUUAUUUUGCUUGGCUUUGCAUUUGAUUUGCUUGCUUUCUAUUGUUGAGUUUGAAUCAUCAAAUUGUAUUUUGUUAACUUGAGCUGGAGCUUACACAAUUUCAGUUUGCUAAAAUGCAUGCAUUCUGUUCUUUUUAAUUUCUGUCACGCAGGGUUUUCAGGCUUGGGCUCAGCUCACAUUUGAGGAAAGCAAAUCCAUCCAACUUAAUUCUCGUUAUUUUUGUAUAAAUUAAUUUAAGUUUUGUAGUCUCAUUGCUUUUAAUUUUUAAUUUGUUUUCAGUUGGCAAUUUGCCAACACCCAUUCAUUCCAGUUUCAAGUUUAUCUCUCACAACCAUGUAAUCUAAGGCUAACUUUAUGUUUGGGUUAAUUUUGUUCAGUUGACAGUUUAAAGAAUUAAAAGUUAAUUCUUUUUUUUUUGUUAUCUGAAAUCUGGCGUCAAGAUUCAAUUUGUUAGUACUGUCUGAGUUGUGUUAAAUCUAUUUCUGACCACCGUCAUUUAAAAGUCACGAUUCCAUCUGUGACAACUGGGGGCUUGUCCGGGAAAAUUUUCAAAUCCCUCCCAUUUCAAAAGGGACAGACGGUUGAGUCGAAAUAGGACAUGGCUUUGAUUGUGAUAACAAAUUUGAUAUUUUGUGCUCGUAAUACUGUGUAGGAUUACUAUACUAGAUAUUAUAGUUAUUGUACUCGUUGUUUCAGUUCUCAGUUGUACAUGUACCUAGAAAAAGGCAACAUGGAAUUUCAGAAAUUCCUAGAAAUGGGUAGAGAGUUACACUUAGAAGAUAAGGAACUCAUAGAAUUUGCCAGAGCUAGGCAGGCAGAAGCUAAAGAAGAAAGACAACAGCUUAGAGCAGAAAAACAGGAAGAACGAGAACAUGAGAAAGACAUGAAAUCCCUAGAAUUAAGUAUAGCACAGGAGCAAUCUAAGCUAGGCUCAUCAAGUGACACUUUCCUAGAAGCCAGUAUGAAAAUUCAGGCUAAGAGUCGAAUCCCAAAGAUGCAGGCUUUUAAUGAAAAAGUAGAUGAUAUGGACUCGUACUUAGGUAGAUUCGAGAGAUACGCCACAAGUAUGAAAUGGCCACAUGACGAAUGGGCGUUGCCCCUAAGUAUUCUCUUAACAGGUAAAGCAACCGAGGUGUACACACGCCUACCUGAUGAUCUAGCCAGUAAUUACGAGGAAUUGAAACUAGCAUUGUUACAUAGAUUCGAACUCACAGAAGAUGGUUUCAGAACCAAGUUUAGACAGUGUAGACCAGAGACAAAUGAAAACUACACACAGUUCGCUGAACGCAUAAAACGAUAUUUGUUGAGAUGGAUUGAGUUAAGUAGUACGGAUAGGACAUUUGAUGGACUUGUUGAUCUUACCAUGAGAGAGCAGAUAAUUAAUGGCUGUAGUAGGGAAUUGAGAUUGUUCUUGAAGGAACGAAAACCUGGUUCAUUGUCCGAGAUGACAAAGAUAGCCGAUAGGUAUCAAGAGGCCCAUAAGCCUACAACGUCUAGGUUUGAAGAUAGACAGGUUAGGAAAGACGGCCAAAGAAAGCCAUUUGACAGAGGUGCAAAAGGAAAUGAAAGUGAACGUUCAGUUAGUGAACAUAGGUCCCGUGAUGAUAGGACAUGUUUCAAGUGUGGUAAGAAAGGGCAUAUAGCUAUGUACUGUAGGGUCAAAGCUAAAAGUCAGCCACAGGCAAGUAAAACCGCAGGUUUGAAAGAAGUGAAUUCCGAGACACCUCAGAGAAAAGCUGAAGUUAUGAAUUCGGCAAAUGGUAGUCAACAGCAGACACUAGCUGCUUGUGUAGAGUUGAAUUCGAUUAGAUAUGAGUAUGUAAGACCUCCAGGCACUUAUGUAAGAUUAGAAACAGGAGAUGAACUCCCAGUUGUCAAUGCUGUAAGUAGACCAGCAUAUGAUGAAAACAUGCCUGUAAAACAGGGUAGGAUUGGAAAUCGCAUAGUCACAGUGCUAAGAGACAGUGGUUGUAGCACAGUAGUUGUAAAACGCACUUUGGUAAAUGAAGAGCAGUACACAGGUAGAGUACAAAGAUGUGUUUUGUUAGAUGGAACAGUACGAGAUGUAAAAGUAGCCAGGGUAUGUAUUGACACUCCGUAUUUUGUAGGAGAGGUUGAGGCUGUAGUCAUGGAAAAUCCUCUGUAUGGUAUCAUAGUAGGCAAUGUAGAAGGAGUAAGGAGUCCCGACGAUCCAAAUGAUGAUUGGUCUCCAGACAUAGAUGAGACAGUAAAUGCAUCGGUACCACAGAUAAAUGCAGUAGAGACUCGUGCCUCUAAGGCAAAGCAGGCAAAACCAAUAACGCCACUGAAAGUGAAUGAGAUACCUGAGAUAUCCAAGUCUAGAGAGGACUUAAUUAAGGCCCAACAGGAGGACAAAAGUUUGUCUAGGUUAUUUGAGUUGGCUACUAAAGGUGAAAGAUCAGUGAAUGGUAGAGGUGCAGAGACAGGUUACUGUGUCAGAAACAAUCUCCUAUAUAGGGAAUACCAGUCUCCACAAGUGCAGUAUGGCAAGGUUAUUAAACAGCUUGUAGUACCUAAGUCAUAUCGGGAAAAAGUAAUGAAAUUAGCACAUGAUUCACCACUAGCUGGACAUCUUAAAGUCAAGAAAACCACUGACAGAAUUAUGGCUAACUUUUUCUGGCCCGCAUUACAAGCAGAUGUACGUAGGUAUUGCCAGUCAUGUGACAUUUGUCAGAGAACCGUGAGUAAAGGAAGAGUGACCAAAGUUCCUUUAGGGGAAAUGCCACUUAUCGACACUCCUUUCAAAAGAGUAGCUGUAGAUAUAGUAGGUCCCAUACAACCAAUCACAGAACGAGGAAACAGAUAUAUCUUAACGUUGGUAGAUUAUGCCACUCGUUACCCAGAAGCUAUCGCACUCCGUAGUAUAGAGACAGAACGAGUAGCAGAAGCACUGUUAGAGAUAUUUUGUAGAGUUGGCAUUCCAGAUGAGAUAUUGACCGAUAGAGGUUCACAGUUUACCUCUGGUGUAAUGAAAGAAGUAGGAAGGUUGUUGUCAAUCAAGCAAUUAGUUACCUCUCCCUAUCAUCCAAUAUGUAACGGGCUAGUAGAACGAUUCAAUGGUACACUCAAAACUAUGCUCAAACGAAUGUGUUCAGAAAAACCAAAUGAUUGGGAUCGAUACUUACCUGCAGUACUAUUUGCAUACAGAGAAGCACCACAGGAAAGUCUGGGCUUUUCGCCCUUUGAAUUACUGUAUGGCAGAACAGUCAAGGGUCCAUUAACGAUCUUGAAAGAAUUAUGGUCUGGAGAAGUUGAAGAUGAAGAAGUGAAAACCACAUAUGAGUAUGUAGUCGAUCUUAAAGAAAGAUUAGAAGCGACAUGUAGAGUUGCUCAAGAAGAACUAAGUCGUUCUGCAAAACGGUACAAAAAGUACUAUGACACAAAAUCAAAAGAUAGGAAGUUCAGAGUUGGUGACAAAGUACUGAUAUUGCGUCCCACAAGUAACAGUAAAUUACUCAUGCAAUGGCAAGGACCAUUUGAAGUGACAGCAUGUGUAAGAAAGAAUGACUAUCUUGUACAGGUAAAGGGAAAAGAAAAGAUCUAUCAUGCAAACUUGCUCAAAAAGUAUGUAGAUAGGCAAGAAGCAAACAGUGUCAAUACUGGUGACAAACAAGAUGAUUGUGAUGCAAAACAUGUAGGUGCAAACAUCGUUAUUGAAGAUGACGAUCAAGAAGAUUGCAUUCAGAUGAAUAUGCCUCAUUUGAAACAGCUAGAAACAUGCGAGGAUGUUCAAGUUGAUGACAAGCUUAUGCUGAAACAAAAACAAGAUGUUGAGAAACUUGUUCAUCAGUUCUCAGAUAUCAUGACAGAUAUGCCAGGUCGCACACAUUUGAUAGAACACAGUGUAAACCUAACCACACGUUCACCAAUUGUGUCGAAAGCAUUUCCAGUACCACCUGCUGUGAGAAAAACAAUAUCUGGUGAAGUUGAGAAAAUGCUCGAAUUAGGAGUAAUCGAGAAAUCAGAAUCAGCUUACGCCUCACCAGUAGUAUUGGUUCGUAAACCUGAUGGUAGUGAUAGAUUCUGUAUAGAUUUUCGCCAGUUGAAUGAUGUAACUGUAUUUAACCCAGAACCAAUCCCAAAUACUGAAGAUCUCAUAUCAAGGGUAGCAAAUGCAAAGUACUUCUCAAAACUAGAUUUGACAAAAGGCUACUGGCAAAUACCAAUGGCACCACAAGAUAAGGACAAAACUGCCUUUGUGACAUCAGAUGGACAUUAUCAGUUCAAUGUUAUGCCUUUUGGUAUGGUAAAUGCACCAGCAGUAUUUUCCAAACUCAUGAGGGAAGUAUUAGUAGGAGUUCCGAAUGUAAUCAAUUACAUAGAUGAUAUACUAGUGUACACAGAAACAUGGGAAGAUCACAUGGUAACAUUGGAAGAGGUUUUGCAAAGAUUGAGAAAUGCAGGACUUACAGCUAGACCAACAAAGUGUUGUAUAGGAUUCAAAAGCUUGAAAUUCCUAGGACAUACGAUAGGUGAGGGAAUUGUGAAACCACACCAAGACAAAGUAGACCAGGUUCUAAAAGCCGAAAGACCGAGGACCAAAAAGCAGGUCAGGUCAUUUCUAGGAUUAGUGGGAUUCUACCGUAAAUUUAUCCCAAACUUCUCGGCUAUUGCAGCUCCACUAUCUGAUUUGACAAAGAAGGGAAAUCCCAACAAGGUCAAUUGGAGUGAUGCACAAGAUGUAGCAUUUGAAACACUGAAAAGACGAGUAGCGUCUGCUCCAAUCCUACAUCUACCAAACUUUGACAAACAGUUUAUUCUCCAAACUGACGCCUCAGACAUUGGCAUAGGAGCGGUGUUAAUGCAAGAGGAAGAUGGUGUGAAAUUCCCAAUAUCAUAUGUUAGUAGGAAACUCCUGCCAAGAGAAGCAAAGUAUUCAGUAAUAGAGAGGGAAUGUUUAGCACUCGUAUGGGCUAUCAAGAAAUUUCAUUUCUUUCUGUAUGGCAAAGAGUUCAUUUUGGAAACGGAUCAUAGGCCACUCAGCUACUUGGCAAGAACGAAAAUGACAAAUAGUAGAAUCAUGAGAUGGGCCUUAAGUUUGCAACCGUACAGAUAUAGGAUAAUAGCAAUCAAAGGAAAAGAUAACGUGGGAGCCGAUUUCUUAAGUCGAUGCCCUGAGAUUGGAGAUUAAGGAAGUGUGACAAUUUAAUAUUUGAAGUUGGUACAAUUGAGGUACAGAUUGUUAGCACAAUCUUGAAGUAGGGAGUAAUGUCAAUGGUCCCAACUACACUGAUUUUUUAUGCUUAAGUUUAUUUUAAAAGGUUUAACUUUAUUUAAUUGUAACUUGUAGUUGAUGGAAGUUCCAAUGUAAGGAAUGCACUUGAACAAUGGGCAUUGUGUUUGAAUUAGGCUAUGUAAGAAUGCCUCACCGCAAACCUACCAGUGUAAUGGAAUGUGAGUGCACGUAGCUCUCUGGUGUUCUUUUAUUUGUGUUAAGCCAGAUCUAUCCGAAUAUUUUCCUUUGUGUUAAUAGUAUAGUAUAUAAGGUUUAGAAUGCCAAAUCUCGGGAGAGUGCCACAUUGACACAGUGGGGAGUGGUGGUCUGCAAUCGUCACUGAAGUAACGGCGGAGACGACCGGACGCUGCUUUGAAGGAAGGCCAAGUUCUACCCCAAGCAAGCUACCUGAACAAGGCUACCGGAUCGUCAAACCACACCACCACACCCACUCGUAUCGUGUCAAUAAAAUAUCCGUAUUAAUUCCUCAAAUCGCCCAAAACCAGAGGCUUUUAAGUUCGGCACUCUCAAGCCUUCUGGUUUUCAGGCUUGGGCUCAGCUCACAUUUGAGGAAAGCAAAUCCAUCCAACUUAAUUCUCGUUAUUUUUGUAUAAAUUAAUUUAAGUUUUGUAGUCUCAUUGCUUUUAAUUUUUAAUUUGUUUUCAGUUGGCAAUUUGCCAACACCCAUUCAUUCCAGUUUCAAGUUUAUCUCUCACAACCAUGUAAUCUAAGGCUAACUUUAUGUUUGGGUUAAUUUUGUUCAGUUGACAGUUUAAAGAAUUAAAAGUUAAUUCUUUUUUUUUUGUUAUCUGAAA